AGUGGGGGAUAGCUCGGCGAAAGCCGGAUUAAUACCGCAUACGCUCUGAGGAGGAAAGCGGGGGACCUUCGGGCCUCGCGCUACAAGAGCGGCCGAUAUCAGAUUAGCUAGUUGGUGGGGUAAAAGCUUACCAAGGCGACGAUCUGUAGCUGGUCUGAGAGGACGACCAGCCACACUGGGACUGAGACACGGCCCAUACUCCUACGGGAGGCAGCAGUGGGGAAUUUUGGACAAUGGGCGAAAGCCUGAUCCAGCAAUGCCGCGUGUGUGAAGAAGGCCUUCGGGUUGUAAAGCACUUUUGUCCGGAAAGAAAUCCUCUGGGUUAAUACCUCGGGGGGAUGACGGUACCGGAAGAAUAAGCACCGGCUAACUACGUGCCAGCAGCCGCGGUAAUACGUAGGGUGCGAGCGUUAAUCGGAAUUACUGGGCGUAAAGCGUGCGCAGGCGGUUUUGUAAGACGGAUGUGAAAUCCCCGGGCUCAACCUGGGAACUGCAUUCGUGACUGCAAGGCUAGAGUAUGGCAGAGGGGGGUAGAAUUCCACGUGUAGCAGUGAAAUGCGUAGAGAUGUGGAGGAAUACCGAUGGCGAAGGCAGCCCCCUGGGCCAAUACUGACGCUCAUGCACGAAAGCGUGGGGAGCAAACAGGAUUAGAUACCCUGGUAGUCCACGCCGUAAACGAUGUCAACUAGUUGUUGGGGAUUCAUUUCCUUAGUAACGUAGCUAACGCGUGAAGUUGACCGCCUGGGGAGUACGGUCGCAAGAUUAAAACUCAAAGGAAUUGACGGGGACCCGCACAAGCGGUGGAUGAUGUGGAUUAAUUCGAUGCAACGCGAAAAACCUUACCUACCCUUGACAUGUACGGAAGUCCGCUGAGAGGUGGAUGUGCUCGAAAGAGAACCGUAACACAGGUGCUGCAUGGCUGUCGUCAGCUCGUGUCGUGAGAUGUUGGGUUAAGUCCCGCAACGAGCGCAACCCUUGUCCUUAGUUGCUACGCAAGAGCACUCUAAGGAGACUGCCGGUGACAAACCGGAGGAAGGUGGGGAUGACGUCAAGUCCUCAUGGCCCUUAUGGGUAGGGCUUCACACGUCAUACAAUGGUCGGUACAGAGGGCUGCCAAACCGCGAGGUGGAGCUAACCCCAGAAAACCCAUCGUAGUCCGGAUCGCAGUCUGCAACUCGACUGCGUGAAGCUGGAAUCGCUAGUAAUCGCGGAUCAGCAUGUCGCGGUGAAU
rnacentral:rRNA from 1 species